rnacentral:rRNA from 1 species
AGUGAACGCUGGCGGUAGGCCUAACACAUGCAAGUCGAACGGCAGCACAGUAAGAGCUUGCUCUUACGGGUGGCGAGUGGCGGACGGGUGAGGAAUACAUCGGAAUCUACUUUUUCGUGGGGGAUAACGUAGGGAAACUUACGCUAAUACCGCAUACGACCUACGGGUGAAAGCAGGGGAUCUUCGGACCUUGCGCGAGUGAAUGAGCCGAUGUCGGAUUAGCUAGUUGGCGGGGUAAAGGCCCACCAAGGCGACGAUCCGUAGCUGGUCUGAGAGGAUGAUCAGCCACACUGGAACUGAGACACGGUCCAGACUCCUACGGGAGGCAGCAGUGGGGAAUAUUGGACAAUGGGCGCAAGCCUGAUCCAGCCAUACCGCGUGGGUGAAGAAGGCCUUCGGGUUGUAAAGCCCUUUUGUUAGGAAAGAAAAGCAGCAGGUUAAUACCCCGCUGUUCUGACGGUACCCAAAGAAUAAGCACCGGCUAACUUCGUG